UACGGAGGGUGCAAGCGUUAAUCGGAAUUACUGGGCGUAAAGGGUGCGUAGGCGGUUGUUUAAGUCUGUUGUGAAAUCCCCGGGCUCAACCUGGGAAUGGCAAUGGAUACUGGGCAGCUAGAGUGUGUCAGAGGAUGGUGGAAUUCCGGGUGUAGCGGUGGAAUGCGUAGAGAUCCGGAAGAACACCGGUGGCGAAGGCGGCCCGCUGGGCAACUGCUGACACUGAUGCGCGACAGCGUGGGGAGCAAACAGG
rnacentral:rRNA from 1 species